UUUAGUGUUCCAAGUUGCUUUCCAUGUGUAUGUUGACUGUCUCCGUGAUUCUCAUCGGCAAAGUUCUCCUGGCAUGAGGACGGGGUUCUAUAUGCAGUAUCUAUUCAAGCUUCAAAGUAGUGUGCCAGUAAACCAAGCAAUAGACAAGGAUUGGAAAGAUGGUGAUUUCUGCUACUGUUAUUUUUCAUAAGGCUAAUCCCAAAAAUUUCUGUGAAUUGCUGUCAAUUCUAUGCUAAUAGCCUCUCGUUCUAGUUCCCAAUUCUCUGACUGCCAAGUUUUUUGAAGUUCUCUGUCUUGUUCUUAGCACUAGUAGCUUAAUCCAAUGCAUGGUAUUGGUGCAACCUAUAUUCCUUUGACUUUUACAUUGUCAUAUCUCUAUUAGAUGUAAACACAUCGUAGCGCUAACUAAUUCAGAGGUUUUUAUACGACAAUAGCUACCCUGUUAUAAUGAAAAGUAUAUGUGCUAAUUGCUAAAUAUCAAGGAGCAAAUAAAAAAUAUAGUUUAAUAGCAUUCAAUUAGUGAUAGAACGAAUUUGGUAUUUGAAAAGCAAUCAAAACAUCUGAGGCUGUGACUGCUCCAACUUUUAGAAACUAAUGCUACUGACAAUUAUCUCUGCUAAGAUCCCUCCCUCUUACCCUCUUCUUAUUUUUGGCAUUUGAAGAACACUGAACACCUAUAGCUGGGCUUCUGACGGUGUGUUGUCAUUUUUGUCUCUCUGGUCAUCAGGCUCUGUUGAUCUGUACUUGUAGCGAGUAGCCCAGAGGAGAUAAUGUAAGAAAUUUAGUCCACUUAAUAUGCACAUCAACCAAUAAAACCUUUCAAGGUGAUAAUGAUUCAAAUUACUCCCGUAGAGCCAUGGCGUUCGCUGAAACCUACCAGUUAUAUGGUUUACUAUUGAUACGAUCACUGAACUGAGGUAAUAACCCAUGGCUAGUGAUGCCCAAGAGACUGCUGUUGCCAAUGACCUCAUGCUUAAGGGGGCCUCCGUGAAGAAGAACUCCAUCAAGCCAGCCAAGCUGAAGAGAUCAGCUGAUCCCAGGAACAGAUAUUGCAGUGCUACCCAAAGAAAUGUGAUAGGAAGUGGUUCGGUUGAAUUCAUUAAGCCAGAUUGCGCUGCCACUCUCUUCCGCUUCAUCUCCACUAGAGCUGCAACAGCCAUGGCUACAAUUGAUAGGAAUAGCCCGGUUCCGAUUCUCUGUAGAUGAGUAAUGCCCAUUUCACUCUUAGUUGCUGCCCUGGCGAAGGGGAUUAUAAUAUGAUUAUAUACUGGUGCCAGUAUCAUGGUGAAUAUGACUGGAAAUAUUGGAAGAGAAGCUGGUGGAACUUUUAGAGCACCAAUAUAUGUGUUCAUGGUGGCUGCUUGUUGUAUAGAAAAUGUUGAAAGCUGAGCCAAGCAACAGUUCAGCAUAACAGUUGACAUAAAUAUUGGCAAGAUCUUGACGACUAUUUUCACCUCUUCUGCUUGUUUGACUGUGCAGUGAAGUGAUGGGUAGGCUGCCUUGUUCAUUGUUGAUUUAUCGAUGAACUUCUGGUCAUUCAUUUCAGUCUGAAUUUCUUCCUUCCAUUCCCCAUGUCCUUCUUCUUCCUGACUUAUCUCAGUUGUGUUUUGGGGGGAUUUCCUUGUGUCUAACACAUUACUGAUAGAAUUCUUAGGAAAAAGAGAGUUGCAAAAUGCUGCUACUAGAACCUGUUGAAACAAUUCAAUGAAGAUUACUCUAUUUUAGUAUGGUGGUACAGGAUGCAAGCACUAGAAGUCUAGAACAUACCUUUAAAAUGGUUGUAAAUGGGCUUCCUUUGGGAAUUUUGAUCCUGUAAGUCCCAGAUCCUAGGAGGAAAAUGGCAAUUGAGCUCAAUAUUGCUACGGUUGAGAUACCAAAGCCCCACUGCCAGCCUUUAUUAUCUUCUACCCAUACUACUAAUGUCACUGCAAUCAAUGCUCCACAAGAGAGGCAGAAGAUGUAAUAAUUGAAGAAGGUAGAUCUGUGCUUCCUUCCUUGUGGCGAAUUCUCAUCGAAUUGCUCCGCUCCAUGUGCAGGAAGUGAGCCUUUUAUCCCUCCAACACCCAAGGCCGCCAGGUAGAGGCCACCAAAUAACAUUGCUGCUUGGCCAUGACCAGCUUCGUUACAUGAGGUGUUUCUGUUUAUGGAUGCACAGAUAGGCGGCCUCAGGGAAGGUAUGCGAGCUUGAAAUGUGAGCAUCAAUAGUCCCUGUUCCAAUAGUUUUGAUUAUUAACAAUCCAUGUGACAUGCCGUCCUGCUAUAUGUCUCAUGUUAUCAUCUUCUGAGUGGUUAUCUUUCAUGUCUCCGAAAGGAGAAAGGCUAUGUGUCGUGUUUUCUUUACCAUGCUAACUAAGAAAGAAGCAGAAUGUUUGUCAUCAUGUUAGGAAGCAUAGGUACUUCCUUUUGAGAACCAUACAGUUGUCCCUGCAAAACUAUUAUGUCCAUACACAAAGCCCAUCUUUUUCUGGGUCAGAGAAAAGCCAUGGACAGUUCUUUAUAAAAGUCUUGAUCACUUGAGAAUUUUACCUGGUGAAGUCGGAUGAAACGGACUUUGGUCAGGUGCUCAAUACCUAUCUUAAGUUGUGAUUUUUGUUAAUGUAUUUCUGUAUAUUGAGCUUUCAUUAUUUCUCCAUGAAAGCUAAAGCAACAUUUUAUUAUCAGUAUGUCUUUUUCAUUUAAAAUAACCUGAAAAUGAGCUGCUUCAAUUUCUGUACCAUCGGUCAUCAAUGGGGUGAUUGUGCCGGGUCCCAAUUUUCUCAUUCCUGAUAUCUAACUGGAUAGAGCGAAUUCAAGACAUGUGAAGUUUGAUGUACAAACAUUUGUUCUUCUAUAAAUAAUUUUUGUUUCUACUAUGUUACUGACCCACAGGUUAUUAAAUGGCAUGAAUAGGAUUAUACAUGAUGUGGGGUAAGUAAAGUAAUGAAGUGUGUCUUAUGCUUGCUACUAUUGUUAGUGUGUGUUUGCUAGUAUUCUUAGUGUAUUCAUGACAAUAGUUUGAGUGUGGCAUUACUGAUUCUUCCACAGAAGACCUCAUAUAUCCUUAUAAUUCUUAUGGACUAAUUGGUAAUUGCAUUGAAUUCUGCUAUCUCAGAUGCAGACCUAAAAGAGCCGCCUGUUUUUCUCAUAUUGCUGCAAUGGUAAGACGAUGCGCGCCUGCUAAUGAUAUCCUAUUCCUUUUGUCCAGUUUCCUGUGAUUGUUAUUAAGAUCCAGAUUGGCAGGUCUAGGAAGGUGUACUCUAUCUACUUAUGCUUUUGGAUAGUAGCAGACUAUACAAUGCUAGGAAAACAUUGAUCUCAAAGAGAUUCAACUAAUGUUAUCUGGUUAGUGCAUGUUAUUGAACAAAAGAUAAUCUCAAAGACACAGAUUACUUACCAUAAAUUCAAUUGCCGCACUAAUCAGAUAGAUGUAAUAGGUGGUGAGGCAAGCAUCAGAUAAGAACCCGCCAAGUAGAGCGAGAAGGAAGGAAGUUCCCAUAAAGUUGGUAACUAUGUUGGCUGAAGCAGAUGGAGAAAAAUUCAUAGUUUUCGAUAGAUAAAGGACUAGAUUACUCGCAUUUGCCAGGUAGGCUAAGUUCUCCAAAAUCUCCACCACUACGUCCACAAUUGAAAAUAUUCAGAUUGUCAGUUGUUACAAUCUAUAUUUUACUAUUGAUAAAUAAAUUUAGCCAGCUUAUAAGUACUAAUUCAUGAAGUUCAUUGCUGUAGCAUUAGAAGCUAACAUAGUGUAUGGGGUUCAAAUUGUAAUGAAAGCAACAUGUGCAUGAGGAGAGGUGGUUUACUGACCCAACACAAAAGAGGCGGCAACCACACCUCCAUGACAUCCUUUCAUGGCUGGCCUGUUUCUCCAGUCCACGUAACCUUCCCACAUGGUCAAUGUCUUCGCAUGAUCCUGCAGCAUAGUGCACAUAAAUUAAGUAAAGAUUCGCUGGAGGGAAUAUAAAAAAGAAGAGAUGAGAGCGGGAAUGUGCACCAUCUCUCUCUCUCUUUCUCUCUCUCUCUCUCUCUCUGUGAUGUUUCUGGGAUCUUGAUGUAGAAGUCCCUAGUGGUAAGUCGUCCAGUACAACAAGGAAGUUAUGGCAGUGUCACCUUUAAAUACUAGAAGGAUGGGGAUGUCAAAUUGUGUAGAAAAAUCUGGAAUCUUUGAAUGUGACCCUGCACUUAGUAAUAUCUUUUUGCUUAACGUAUGGUAAAACCUCAUAUAUUUAUGUGUACAUGCUUCUUGGUACAUAAUUUGUGUGGGGGGGGGGGGGGAGGAGAAAAAAACAAAGAAGUGGUGAGUGCUCGCUCAUAACUAUUUUCAGAAUGGUAUGCGAGUAUUAGUAACAUAGUUUACGUGGAAUAAUUUCAUCUUUAUAUUGGCUUGAGCUGCUUGGUUCAUUUUAGUUUUUUAACUGUAGACGUUUGGUUUUCUAGUAUUUGUGUGUCUCGUCAUAUUUCUUCCUUCUAUCAAAAAGUGCUAUAUGUUCUGUGUAGCAUGUGAUGUAAUGCUUUUGUAAGGGUGAAAGGAGUCCAAUAAAUUGAAAUCAUCUGAUGAAAUAGAUCUCAUGUUCAAGCAUGUUGGGAAGGUAAAUAAAACUCAUGAUGGGAUGUUGUACUCCUUUAGUUUAUCUUCAGCUUCAUCUCACUCCUAUCCCACUCCGCCUUCUCUUUUCUGAAUCAAAACUCAGUGUUACAUCUUCCCCUCCCUCUGCUUUGAUCUUCUUCCAGAUAUAGUCCAUGCCCUGGUAGAUGUUAACUUACCUUGAGUCACAGGGCUCUGUUUGAAAAAUAAGCUUCAAAUACCAUUCCUUAACCUUUUUCUUUUUGUGUCUUUGUGAGCACAACACUGAGGUUGGAAUCCUGAGGGACAUGAAACGGGGAGAAGAGAGGAGGGUUCAGGUGGAAGAUGAUGAACUGAACAACUAUGUUAAACUUCACCCUCCUGCUUGUAUGAUGAAUUACUAUAGUUUGAACAUUUGUAUAAUGGAAUGGUCAUCUCAUUUUGUUUAAUAAUAUUCUCUAUUCGAUUUUCUUUGUAUCUCGUGAUAUAAUUUAUUAGAAUUGCUCUAUCUCUGUCUUGAUGCUCUUUGGUAAAAUGAAGUUAUUCAUUAUAGUUGUUGUCUAUAAAGAGCGGUCAGUUUCUACUUCACGUGGGGCUUGUCCUUGGCUGUGUCUGUAGAGGGUUCUCAACUUUGCCAUUGCUUCUUCUUGGUACUUGAGUUAUGGCAUUAAUUUCAGCUUAUCAUCUGAGUGGAACUCAUGUCUGCAAGUAUCCAUGUGGACCCUCUGGUUAUAGGAAUUAUACUCCUAAGGGUCUCAAAAUUGAGUGGCUAGAAGUCCUUAAGGUCAUAGCUAUUUAGCAUGUGCUUCCUUCUAAUGUCCUGUCGCACUCUGUUGUCUAAGCAAGCAAUUUCAGAUAGAACGACAUGAAGUAAGAAAACCUAACAGUAGUAGCUUGACCACAAAAAAUAAUAUAUUUUACUUUUACUCAUGCGAGUGGUAUCAAGUUGUAGCGGCCUAGCGGGUAGCCUUUUCCAAUUAUGUAAUGGCACAGAAAUUUGUAAAUUUUUUAUCCCCUUAAUAUAUAUUCUUUAGAUCAAUCAUGUCAUUGUCAUAAUUUUUCUUUUCAAAAAAUUGAAAUUGUUUGCACCAAUGACAUCCUAUAGUCCUCACACCAAAUUAGCCUUCUUCCAAAUCGUGUACCCUGUGAUUUCAGAUUUUGUUUUUAAAUAAAGAGAUGGUAUUCCAUAAGCUUUAUUUUCUUUUCUGUUUUUAAAUAGGCCAAGAUAAGAAAAAUUAUUUGAACUUGGCUAAUCCAAUAGUUUCUAAAUAUUUCCAGGAUAUUUUAAUAUGCUUGGACAUUAGAAAAAUUUCCACCAUCAUAUCGCAUAUAUGUUGUUGCAAGAAAUGAUGAAAUACCACGAUACAUCCCUGACUCCCUUUCCGGGUGUUGGUUUUUAUUUUUAAGAUCAGCAUUGCAUGUGCUUUUCCAAAUUUUAUGUUGUGUGCUUUGAUCACUGGGUUCUUUUCUAAAUCAUUCUAGGCACAGAUCAUUGGUAUUGGAUGUAUCGUUAGGUUGUGCCGAGUCAAAUCUGCUCCGUUUUUUUUCCGUUGCAGAAAAUGCGCUGACUGGAUGCGUACUCGCGUGAUCAAUCGAUGGACGGGGGAAUUGCGUGAAUGAUGAGACCGGCCUAACCUAAGCUGUAAGAACUUUUUAACUUCAGUACUUCUGAAUGUUUUUGCAUUACCAUGACAUAAAUUUGAUAGUAAACAGGUAAUGAUUUUAUGGAAGUGGUGUUAUUUUUUGGCCAUCAAACUGAAAUGUUACAAUUAUAGGUGCUGGUUUCAUGACGUGCAUUGCAAAGUAAGAAGGGAUUAUUGGUUCCUAUAUAUGGAAUGUUGAGACAUCUAGAAGAGUUGGAAUCUUUGACAUUACUGUUAAGUUCGCAAUUAUGUUUUCCUCUCUUGUUUUUUUUUAAUUCUUCCUUUGUUAGUUUUUUUUUUCUUUUCUGCAUUCUUGUUAUAAUCUCCUAUAAAUAUGUGGGCAAGUUCAUCAUUAUCUGAAGUCAAAUAUCUUGCAAAACUUUAUGAUGAUGCUCAUCCACCAUUGCAUCCGUUCGGUGGACUUCGGAUGUUCUACAUCCUUCUUAUGCUCAACUGAAGGAGCUGGAAAACCAUCAUUUAAGACAUCUCUGGUUAUGCCUAGUCGACAAUGCAUCUUGUAAGUGUUUGGACUCUGGAUUCUUAUCCAUAGUCCCAGGUUGUGGCAAGCUGAUCAUGCGGCAACUAACUUUUAGGCCCAUAAAAUAGUUAAAAUAGUAAAUAUGUUCGAUGGUUGCUAAUGAUAUUCCUAUUGGGACCUUACCAAGCAUUUUGUGCUCAAUUUUUAAAGCUC
rnacentral:lncRNA from 1 species